rnacentral:lncRNA from 1 species
GCACAGUGUCUGGGGAUAAACCCUGGAGCUGAACAAAUCUAUGUUCUCUCCUGAGAUCUGCAUGACGUUGGGCCAGUUAUUUCUCCUUUCUGGGCCUCAGUUUCCUCAUCUAUAGAUGUGGCUGAUAAUACCUACCUUGAAGAGUUGCUGGGAAGAUGAGAGAACUAGAUUACGUAUCUACAUCCUGUUCGUGUUCAUACGUAUGCAAAGACGAAGAAAAAUGUGAAGAAAGAUUUGCUUUCAACUGAAAACUGGAACUUCCUCUCAGGACUACUGUAGGAUUAGAAGUUCGGGAUAAGGAGAUGAGAAAACUGAGCAAGAGAGGUUAAACCACUUAUCCAAGUCAGUGUGCAUGAGAGGCAUUCAGACCAGCUGCUCCCUCCCCAGUCCAUUUUCCUUCUUCAUCUGGCUGUGAGACACGGCUUGCAAAGAGGGCAAGGUACCAGGAACAAGGCCAC